GGAAUAUCGGACAAUGGGCGGAAGCCUGAUCCAGCAACGCCGCGUGAGGGAUGACGGCCUUCGGGUUGUAAACCUCUUUCGCCUGUGACGAAGCGCAAGUGACGGUAACAGGUAAAGAAGCACCGGCCCACUACGUGCCAGCAGCCGCGGUAAUACGUAGGGUGCGAGCGUUGUCCGGAAUUAUUGGGCGUAAAGGGCUCGUAGGCGGUUUGUCGCGUCGGGAGUGAAAACAUCCAGCUUAACUGGGUGCUUGCUUUCGAUACGGGCAGACUUGAGGUAUGCAGGGGAGAAUGGAAUUCCUGGUGUAGCGGUGAAAUGCGCAGAUAUCAGGAGGAACACCGGUGGCGAAGGCGGUUCUCUGGGCAUUACCUGACGCUGAGGAGCGAAAGUGUGGGGAGCGAAC
rnacentral:rRNA from 1 species